UACGGGGGGGGCAAGCGUUGUUCGGAAUUACUGGGCGUAAAGGGCUCGUAGGCGGCCAACUAAGUCAGACGUGAAAUCCCUCGGCUUAACCGGGGAACUGCGUCUGAUACUGGAUGGCUUGAAUCCGGGAGAGGGAUGCGGAAUUCCAGGUGUAGCGGUGAAAUGCGUAGAUAUCAGGAAGAACACCGACGGCGAAGGCAGCUCGCUGGGACGGUACUGACGCUGAGGCGCGAAAGCGUGGGGAGCGAACAGG
rnacentral:rRNA from 1 species